UACGGAGGGUGCGAGCGUUGUCCGGAAUCACUGGGCGUAAAGGGCGCGUAGGCGGCGCAACAAGUCACUUGUGAAAUCUCCGGGCUUAACUCGGAGCGGCCAAGUGAUACUGUCGUGCUAGAGUGCGGAAGGGGCAACUGGAAUUCUCGGUGUAGCGGUGAAAUGCGUAGAUAUCGAGAGGAACACCUGCGGCGAAGGCGGGUUGCUGGGCCGACACUGACGCUGAGGCGCGAAAGCCAGGGGAGCGAACGGG
rnacentral:rRNA from 1 species